rnacentral:misc_RNA from 1 species
AAAAAAAAAAAAAAAAACCAAUUGAAUUGAAUUCCUAUGUCUAAAAGGGUGUAUAUUUAUAUAUAUAUUUUAGAGAUGAUUUCAUAUUCUUUCCAAUAAUAGUAACAAGCUAGUUUCAUCCAUUGGCUCCACUCCCUCGUCAAUUCUUUGCGUCCUCAACCCUGAAAUCAAGAUAAUGGAAGUGAUAAUAUCCAAUUCUCACCAUCCAUUGUGUCAAGCAGCCGAAAUGCCUUCUUAACCUCCCCUUUUGCACACGAGUAAUGCAUCAGCCUUAAGAAUGAUCUCACGUUAGGCCCACACCUUCGUUUAGGAAAUUCGUCAAGCGCAUAGAAUGCUGCCUCCAAAUCCCCAUUUUCAUUUCAUUGGCCCUUCAAAGAAAAUAUUAAGAUAACAACCAUCAAUAUCUACGCCCAACAUCAAAGCUUUCGCAUAUAUCUCAAAGCUCUGCAGCUACAAGCAAAUUCAACACAAAAUUAAAAGUUUUCACAGUUGGCCAACAACUAUUACCUUUUGGCAAAUCAAAAAGAGUUUCUAUUACUUUCACUGUUUGAUUCUUUGCAUCAUAUCUUCAAUGGCAUCAUAGUGUUAGUAAUCACCAAAAUCGCAUCGCCUUCCUCGUCUUCAUUGUCAUCCAGAAGCCGCUUUUUCCGGCUCCGGCAAUCGAUUCAUCAUCUUCUUUCUGGAUUUUUGUCCACCCAUAGCUGCCCUCCCCCUCCUCUGUUCCGAUUUUGGAGCGAGUACAUGUAAGAUAUAGCAGAAGAGGCGUGGUUCGCUAAGUGAAUGGUGGGUCCGUGCCCAAGACUGGGGCCUAAGCUGUUAAAGAAGAGGCACAGUGUAAUGCUUAUACAAUGAGGGUAAUUCUGGAGACAUGUUAGCCAAGAUUUCGAUGGGGAGGGGAUGGGGACUGAGGAUGUAUGUUGGUACAUACUGGGCUUCACGGACUCUGGGUUUGGGCUUGGCUACUGUAGUUGCUGUUAAUGCGCUUGGAAAUUGGCGAGCGUUCGCUUGCCGAUUAUGGUUUGGGUCGUUAAGUUCGCGGUGGUGGUUUGGUUCUGAGCAACCUGAAAGCUGGCGUCCAGAAAUAAUUGAGAUGGCUGGAUUCUUAGGAUGGUAUUUGAGAUGGAUUAUUGGAUUUUUUUUUCUUGACCAGGUAUCCUCAAUUCACGGAAAUUCGACAGUUGUCCGGGUUUGUGAAUUUUCGGCCAGACAGACCCGCUACCGGAAAAGUCUCCGAACUGGAUCGAGGUUUUGGCUACCCUCCAUUGUCAGACGUCCCGAGCGCG